CCCGCCUCGGCCCGGCCGGCUCCCAGACGAGCACGUGCUAUGCGCGGCCCCCCGCGCCCCCGCCUCGGGCGCCACGCAGGCAGCGCUCCCGGCGGGGCGCCCCGCUCUGCGCCGUUCCCUCCGCCGUCGCCCAGCCACCGCCUUUCGCACGCGCCGGAACCGCUUUUGUGGUCUCCGAGACACUCAUUUGCUGUCCUGGUUUCCAAAGCUCCACGUGCUCAGCGCCGAAAACUUGCAAAUCAUUUGCUGUCUAUACUGGGCGCCCGCUGCGUGCCAGGUACUGCCACCGGCUCUCUCCUCACGGUGGAAUAACUUAACAGAGAAGACAGACAUCAAUCAAAUACCCUGGAAACGUGGAAGGCAGGGGAAAGAACAAAGGGAGAGCAAAAUCGCCCCAAUCCCACAUCACCCGCGACGUGAAAGGAUUUGUCCUUCCAGCUGCGGGACUCCUAUUUGUUUAUUUCAAGUCAGAGGCCUUCCCUUUAUGCCCACAUCUGUUCCCGACCCUCUCCUCUGAUUUUCCUCACAUGUAUUUCCUCCCCUCUUCAGCCCCGCGCCAGCUCCAGGCACAGCCGUUCAGGGUGAUGCCAAAGGGAAAUGAGAACGCCUGGUUUCGAGUGCCAGCCUGAGGCCCCUUAAGCCCUAGCCUGGCUCCAAAAACUGCAGCCUGUUUCCCUCAACAAAAAUGACGUCAAGAAUACCUAGAUGUGACCACACCGAACUUGCUUGCCCGUUUUGGGAAACCCAACUUUCUUCCUGAAUAGUCAGAACCUCUGGCUUUCCUGGUCUCUUAAGAACCGCAAACUAUUGAAAAGCAGAUGCGUCUUUCAGCCUCUUUAAUAAAUGCAGUAAGGAGA
rnacentral:lncRNA from 1 species